UAUCCGGUGGCCUAGUGGUUAGAGCGUCCGCCUCGGAUGUGGGAUGUCAUGGGUUUAAUCCCAGGUCGAGUCA